AAACCCUUCUUCCCCUUUCAUUGUUUGCAAGCUUAUACCAACUAGUUAUUAAUUUGGUCUAAUUUUUUUUUAAGAGGAAUAUUCAUCUUUACUGUGAACUUCCCCCCCCUCCCCCCGGGCUCAUUAUGUUAAACAUUGCACUUAACCUACACUUUAGGGGGGGAAAUGUAGUUGGUUUAAACUGUCAGAGUGACUCAUAUAAUGGAAUAUGGGCUAACUGGAAGAAAAUAUUUAACUAAAAACAAAUAUCCCAGGGUUCACUCCACCUCAUUCCCAGCAGCAAAUUUGGGUUGUGUUUGUGCCUCCUGUCCUCUCCCAGGGGAAGAGCCUGAGGAGGGACCCAAGGAAAAGAAGAGGUUGGCUUGUUGCAAAUUGCUGCCAGGAAACUGUCAGUCUUCUAACCUAACACCAGUUCUUAUCAGAGAAACCCUGGAAAGGAUGAUCCCAUGUGCAAAAAAACAACUUUUAUUUGAAUGUGACAUCUACCUGCAAAGGAGCCAAUCCCCAGCACCACCAGUGUAUUGUGUCAUGCCAAAAGCCAGAGAAGCUCUAUGUAGGGUUUUCUUCCAAAUGCCAGGGCUCAGACUGCAGACGGUACCCUUGCUCAUUCUGGAGAACGUUAUCAACCUCAUGGUUUGGGGUUAA
rnacentral:lncRNA from 1 species